AACGAACGCUGGCGGCAUGCCUAACACAUGCAAGUCGAACGAAGCCUUCGGGCUUAGUGGCGCACGGGUGCGUAACGCGUGGGAAUCUGCCCUUUGGUUCGGAAUAACAGUUGGAAACGACUGCUAAUACCGGAUGAUGACGAAAGUCCAAAGAUUUAUCGCCAGAGGAUGAGCCCGCGUAGGAUUAGCUAGUUGGUGUGGUAAAGGCGCACCAAGGCGACGAUCCUUAGCUGGUCUGAGAGGAUGAUCAGCCACACUGGGACUGAGACACGGCCCAGACUCCUACGGGAGGCAGCAGUGGGGAAUAUUGGACAAUGGGCGGAAGCCUGAUCCAGCAAUGCCGCGUGAGUGAUGAAGGCCCUAGGGUUGUAAAGCUCUUUUACCCGGGAUGAUAAUGACAGUACCGGGAGAAUAAGCCCCGGCUAACUCCGUGCCAGCAGCCGCCAUAA
rnacentral:rRNA from 1 species